rnacentral:rRNA from 1 species
CAACUCGCCUACAUGAAGUCGGAGUUGCUAGUAAUCGCGGAUCAGAAUGCCGCGGUGAAUGCGUUCCCGGGUCUUGUACACACCGCCCGUCACACCAUGGAAGUUGGGGGCGCCCGAAGUUGCCUAAGAAAUAAGGUACCUAAGGCGAAACCAAUGACUGGGGUGAAGUCGUAACAAGGUAGC